GAUGUGAGAGCAAUCUGACUGUGACAUCUGUCACCUCACUGAUCGCCAGGGUUGAUUCAGCUGAUCUGGCUGUGACAUCUGUCAUCCCACUGAUC
rnacentral:snRNA from 1 species